CCACAGGACUGGAGGCUGAAGUUGCCAUGGCCGCUGCAGUGAGGGAUAUAGUCCAGUUGUCCUGCAACGGUCAAGGAGAAGGUCAAAGGGCAGCAGCGGCACCUCGGCAUGAAUCAAAUAAACUAAUUAAGCAAACACAAGCCCAGUACCUGCUUGGCAUGCUUCUCUGCACUUGGCUCUGGGGACAAAUUUUUCCACGUCUGCCGGGGAGCCUGAGGGGAGGCUGGUAGAAUGCCCACUCAGACGCUGCCCAGAGUUCAUGUCCAUGAACACCUAUGACUUCCCCAUAUUCCUCAGCUCCGCUGAAAAGGCAAAGUAGCCUGAAAGUUCUCACUGAAGAACAGGAAGAAAGGGAGGCUGAACAACUAACUGGACUUUCUCUUCUCGUCUUCACAAUUGUUUAUUUACAGUUUCAGUUUUGGGGAAGCGAAAGAGAUAUGAAAACCUGUGGAAUAUUUCACUACUCGAAAGCCUCCCCUAAUCUUGGUAUGUGUCUGCUACCCUCCAGACAUGUGGGCCAUCCAGCCCCAUUAAAGGUCAUCCCUGCUGCCUCCUGCUUCUUCUCUGUGAAGGCCUUGACAUAUCAGACCCUGUAGAGGUGAAAACUGGAACCCAAGUCAGUAAAGACAAAUCCCUCUUCUCAGCAAAGAAUGAAUGGCCUGGGUCUACUAUACCUGCUGGAUGAGAAGACUGAGCACGAAGGAAACUGACACAAUUUCUAUAUAUUCAGGGUCAGCUGAUAACUGUUGCUUCUGUGGUGCUCACUGGCAGGCAGGCUUUCACCUGGAGAGCCCAAAUCUUAUACUAAAUAACCCCUGCCAUUCUAGCGUAAUCAGCAUUGUUAGGUGGGGAAGGAAGGCACGGGUUAGUUCCAUAACUUGCUUAAACACCAGCUAGUAAGUAGCAGAGCCAGGGUUUGAACUCAGGGAGUCUGGCUCUGAAGAUGUAAUGACUUCUCCCAGAGAGGUCAAGUCAGAAAUGCGUGUCUCUAGUCGGGAGUGGGUGAGGCGAGACGUAAAUAAAUCUCUUGGACACUCAGCCUUUGGGGGCGUGGAGUGAGCUCUGUGAUUGUGUGUGAGCAGGUGUGUGUGUGUGUGUGUGUGUGUGCAAGUGCACCUGCGUGUGUGUCUGUGGGGGGGGGGGGCAAAACCUCCAUCUUGCCGGAGAAGACGGGGACAGGUCCUCUGAGACCUUAAUGACUAUCAUUGACUCAGAUGGGAGAGAGGCUGCGACAGAGAGAACAGAGGACCUGCAUUCUCUAGUCCCGAGGUUAACAUGGAUAGGUAUCAGUUCAACAGCCUGAGAAAACCAAAGAUGAAUGAAGACAGACAUCAGAUUCCCCGCUCGCCACAGAAGUUGCUGCGCUGAACCGAUGUACCAUUACCUGACACGUCCCUCCAAAAUCAGGUUAAUGUAUUUCAAACUGGCUGAGCAGUGGAGAGAGUCACUGCCCUGAAUCCCCUGGGGAGGGACCGCAUUUAGAUCACCGGGACAUAUGAACAGAGAGCUGCAGACGAGGGCACUUUUCCCUCUGUGGGUGCGCCGUCUCCCCUGUGCCUCUGCUCCCCUCCGGACACCCGUGCGCCCCCAGA